rnacentral:rRNA from 1 species
AUUGAACGCUGGCGGCAGGCCUAACACAUGCAAGUCGAGCGAGCGGCGGACGGGUGAGGACUGUAUGGGGACUGCCCGAUAGAGGGGGGUAACUACUGGAAACGGUGGCUAAUACCGCAUACUGUAGGAUCACCCAUCUGGGCGUAGCUAGUAGGGAAGGUAAUGGCUUACCUAGGCGACGAUCCCUAGCUGGUCUGAGAGGAUGAUCAGCCACACUGGGACUGAGACACGGCCCAGACUCCUACGGAGGCAGCAGUGGGGAAUAUUGCACAAUGGGCGCAAGCCUGAUGCAGCCAUGCCGCGUGUAUGAAGAAGGCCCUAGGGUUGUAAAGUACUUUCAGUCGGGAGGCGUUACCGACAGAAGAAGCACCGGCUAACUCCGUGCCAGCAGCCGCGGUAAUAC